AAAGGGAGUUUUUCCUUCCCACUGUCGCCAAAGUGCUUGCUCAUAGGGGGUCAUAUGAUAUGAUUGUUGGGGUUUUCUCUGUAUUUAUUAUUGUGCGAUCUAUUGUACAAUAUAAAGCGCCUUGAGGCGACUUUUGUUGUGAUUUGGCGCUAUUUAAAUAAAAUUGAAUUGAAUUGAAUUGAAAAGAGAUGUAACUUGUUUGUAAAGUUUGCGGCCCACAUCAGUGAAGAUGCUUAAACAAGUGAUCAAAUGCUGAGUACUAUGAACAAAAAACAACAAAAAUGUAUAAAAGAAUAGUGCCCAUUAGAGUGAGGAACAGGAAGAAAGAAGCUCUAAAUUUGAGAAUAAAAUAUUAGAAGAAACACCUGGGAGGAAAAUGAUAAGGCCAGUAAACUGGUUCUCAGGUAAAUUAAAAUAAAUAUAACAAACUAUUAAAAUAAGAACAGGGAAGUAAGACAGAACUGAAUGAGAGAGGGGCAUAAGACAUAACAGUAGAGAAGCAGUGGAAAGAAUUGAGAAUGGUAUAAUUCAGUGAGUAAACAAAAAGCCUAAAUACAAUGACAACUGAUUAGAGUGUAAUGGUAACAAUAACAAGACAGUAAUUAGAAAGAUGUAAUAAAUAAUGCCAUUAAGUGUAAUAGUAAAGUAAGAGGAAGAGUAGGUAAGAAUGAAAAGUGAUCACAGUCAAGCACUUUAGAAAAAAGAAUAAAAAAUUUAAAGAAAAAGAAUAUUUGGCUGGGAAAAAAAACAACAGAAAUAAAGUUGUGGGGUGCAUGGCUGGUUAACCUGCAGCUGUGGAUCAUUAGAAAUGCUGAUCAAUAAAUAAAAAGCAUGAUUAGAUAUUGUAUGGGGGAAGGGAUUAAUAAAUGGAUCAUUGGUAUCUAAAACACUCGCCUUGAUGCUGGUCAGACUGUGUGUAAUCCUUCUUCUAUAGCUAUGAGAGAAAUAACAUUUAGACGAGCUUCAGAGGUGCGUGACAUAAGAGGGCCUUAACCCUUUAAGGCUUCGAGGGUGAGGCUUGAAUCAGGAAAUAUUUAAGUUUUAAGAGUCCCAAAACAUCAGAGUGCUUUUUACCAUCCAAGAAAGUAAAUAAAUAAAUAAAUUGCACUUUAUACAUUUAAGGAAUAACUUGCAAAAUGCUGUCUUUAGCAAAUGCAAUAUGGUAAUUCUUACAUAUGCAAAAUUAAUAUUGUUUUUAAUUUGUCAAGUUUAAUAGGUAUUGUGACAAAAUUUGGGGGUAAUUGUUUCAGGAAUCAGGGUUUUGAAUAGUGACAGGGUUGAUCCCACAGCUGCAUCUUGUCACUUACAGGAAAGUUGGGCAGAAAAACAUAAAACUGUUGUAUAUGAUAAUAAAGCCCCUAUGAUUUUGUUUUAGUUUUACAAGAAAAAUAAAAGCAAAUAUAGAUAAAUCUCUGCUAAAUCUAAGCUCCCUGAAUAAGCAGUGUGCAUCAUGCAGGUGGAGAUACACAGGAGCAGGGUUUGAAGGGGAUGACAUAGCCUUUGUUCCAGCAAAAGCUGGUAAUUAGAAAUAAAACACAUUAACCUAAAAUGCAAUAAGGAGAAAUCAAAAGUUGAGCCUUUGUACUAAAAAAAACUAAACAAAAAAAACAAAAACCAUGACAAAAGUGAUUAUGGCUUAGAAGAGGAGAAGUAAACACGAGAAAGUUUGAGAUGUAGGAAGUCAGAUUAAGGAGCUGAAGAGUGAAGAGUGAUUAGAUAGGUGGGACAAAGACAGUUGUGAGUCAGAGGAAAGGAAGCUAAAUAGGAGAAUUCAAAGACCAGGAGUAAGAUAAUGGAGAGUAACAUGAGGUCGAGCUCACAGGCAAAAGAAAAAAAAAAAGGUGGAGCAAAUGAAAACAGUUACUAACUAACUGAUGUAUGCACAUACUCGAAACAAUGACUCUCCUGCUAUGAAAAAAAAAAAAAAGAAAUGCCUCCUUACAGAUGAAGGAGCUCACCAACUGAAGGGGAGAAACACAGAUCACCAGUGAAAGACAACAGGCCAUGAGUCUGUGGAGUAGAGCAACACUGGCACUGCGAAGGCCUACGUCACUGAUGAGGCCUGUACAAGGGUGGAGAGGAGGAGUCAGCUGUAUGACGACAUCCAAUGGCUGGCACAUGUGAAAACCCAGGAAACCAGAGGGGAUCUUCCCAGUGAAGAUCCUCAAUUCAUGAAACCGAGUCUCCUCGAGUCCAAUGAAAGACUGUAUCUGCAGAGGGCUGGAAAAGUGUAUUAAAACACACUUUUAGUCAGGUGACAUACUCAUCAAUCUGCUGAGGACUGACAAUCGAUGGCCUCUAAGAGCCAACAUCGUCUGCAUCUGGGAUGUUCUCUGUGUGGAUGUUCCUGGAGAACUCCGAGAGGAAUGUGGGCAGCACCAUAACAACAAGGAAUUUACUGCCAAGAGAAAUCUUCAGUACAUGGACUGUGACUGAUACCAGAGUACUAACUAUCCAUGUUAUCUGCAGUGAACAACAUCAAGCAGCUGCAUCAGUAACGCUCCCAACAAACUAAUAAGUUUAAAGCCCUGGGCUCCACCCCUUGUGUUACUCUCCCAGUAGAAAAAGAACACAAAUAAUAUGAACUAGGCCACAUGAAAGCAUUAGAUAGGAAAUUAUUACAAAUAUAUUCAUUACUAACACUCUUACAUUAGAAUAUUAUUGAAAAGUUUAAUACAUAAAGGGCACAGACAUGACUCUCAUUGACACUAGAACAGAUACACACAGAGCAUUAGAACCUCAGUAGAGCAUGGGAUAGAUAAGUAAACUUAGAAAAGUUAUUAAUCACCUUAUGAGCAUUGCAUUAUUGAAGGGAUGAAACGUACACAUGGGGAUUUACUAAAAGUUGGGGUAAUGAUGAAACUCAGGAUCCCUGGUAACAUGAAAUGAGAAAUUUAAACAUCUGCUGUUUCUGACCCUGGUACACUGCUCUUGGGUAUCCUCCUGACAUGUAUGGGUGCAAAUGUGUAGAUAUGUGUAAAUCUGUAUGCAGAUAUGACAAAUAAUCUGUCUUUUAUCUUUUUCAGUGCGGCUACAUACAGACCAGUGGCAGCUACUUCUGUUCAUGUAUUGAAGCUAAUAGUAAGAUGCUAGCUCUAAAUGUGCAGCACUAAACCAUCCAUACUGCGAUAAUUCAGUGUGAGCAAUUUGUAGUUACUUUCAAAUGGAAGAAAAAUAAAAAUGAAUGCAGUGUGGAGGAGAAAGCAGCGAAGGAUUCUGUCAUAAUCUUAACUGCAUUGGGAAAAGGGGGGCACAUAUAGCUUAGCAGAGCUAAAUUGUUAACUCUCCCAAAGAAUGAACCCCCCCAAAAAAGAGAAAAUCUAAAUUAUCAGAUAUUUUGGAGGGAAAGAGGCUAAAGCCUGAUCUCCUAUAAAAUGAUCAAACCUCAAUUUAGAAAAAUGGGGCCUAAAUUAUCUUUCCUGUGUGUGGCAGGGUCCAGUUGUCUGUGGAUUGACAUAUUUAAAUUACUCAAAUGCUUACUCUAGUAAAACAUGCAGAACUAAAUGACUCUAUUCUAGUUCUGUUCUGGUUACAGUGUGCAGAGGUAGAGUUUGAAGCACUGAGGAGGGACAUGCAGUCUGACCGGGCACUUGGCAACCAAAAGGAAAGAGAAGAACAUUUCAUUGGUAUGGGGCAAACUGAGAAGAUUAAGGUAAGGCAGAGUUGAGUCAGAAUGAUUAAACCUCUAUAGGUGAGCGACUAUUGACCUAGUAAAAUCCAAAUUUACAAACUGUUGAAGUAGACCUUUUACCCUGCAAUUAGCACUGUUUGUUUUUCAGGAGGUCUCAGUGUUCAUCAUGGCCAUCCAGGUGUAUUGUAAAUAUAAUGCCAAUUACAUGUAUUAUUUACGGUCCAAAAUUUACUAUCACUCAAGUUAAGGAAAAUGGGGUGUGAAGUAAUUGUCUGCCUCAGAGUCCACCACCAAAAUGUGUAACAAGGUCCAAUUAGGGAAUUUCUUAUGAUUACUGUCUAUGAACAACCCAUGCAUGAAAAUUUGUAUGAAUAGUCUAAUACAGCUGUUUUAGCUUUUCAAUGGCUAUUUUUCUAUAAGAACAAAGGCUGUCAUGCUGUAUAUUAUUCAACUCAAGGUUGAACAGGCAUGAAAUCAUGAUGCCAGUCAUCUAAAGGCACUUUAUUAUCUAAGGAUAAACUGCAAAAAUAAAACAUUAAAACACAAUUAUUUAUCUGACCCCCUUUUAGCAAGAAAUUUGGAGAGGAGGAACUCCCUUUUUAACAGGACUAAAUGCCCAGUAGAAUUGGGCACAGGGGGGAGUGGUCAUCUGCUGUGACCAGCUGAGUAAGGAGAAGGAGACAGGACUAAAAAUAUGCUGUGUAGGAGAGCCAGAGAUUGAUAAUAACUAAUAACUAAUAAUAACUCAAAAGAGAGACCUAAAAACUGGAGGCCUGGCUUCCCAUUCUACUUUUAAAUAUUCUAGUAAGCUUAAAGUUCGAGAGCCAAGUGGGGAGAUAUAGUACUAUAGGAGCAGUAUGGUAAUUAAAAAAAAAACAAAAAACAGAUUUAACAAGGAGCCUAUGAAGAGAAAUCAAUAGGAGAAAUGUACUCUGUCAUUCUAGUCCCUUUCAGCAUUCAUGUUGCAACAUUUUGAUGUAGAUGGAUGCUUUUUAAGGAGUUACAAUGUCUACAACAUCCUGAUAAAAACAAAUUACAGUGGGACAGCCUAGAAGUAAUAAAUGCAUGAAUUUGUCUUCCACCAUCACUCUGGGACAGGACUUUAGAGAUCUUGCAGAAAUUGAAGAAAGCAGUCCUGAAAAAGCACAUAUUAGUGCAUAUUGGGAUUUAAAAAAUUACUCCAAGAAACCUCACAGUGUUAAUGGAGACCAAGGUAAUGCCAUUCAGAGCAUUCCUUUAGGUUGACUGACAGGUGUGUGUUGUCUGGCUUCAUGGAUGAAUGAGAGAGAGGGUGUCAUCAGCACGGCAGAGGUAUGUUGUGUCUUUUGUGGUGUUACCUGAAGGAGGCAUGUGUUAUGUAAAUAGAAAUAGAUCCUGGUGUGAAACCUUGUGAAGCUCAAUGGUUAGUCUUGUGUAUGUGGGAGGAUUCUUAGAAUAACAUGUUAUGGUCACAAGUGUCGAACAUAGAGAUCAAUCCACUCUCAGAGGCCUUAAGAAGAUCAUUUUUAACUUUCAUCAAAGCUGUCUCUAUACUGUGAUGUGCUCUGAAACCUGACUGAAACUCUUUAAAUAAGGCAUUCCUCUGUGGCUAUUUUACAGGAUCUCUUGUGGGGAUUUUUGACAUAAAGGAAAGUUGGAGGCCUAUAAUUGGCUAGGACAGUUAGGUCAAGUGAUGGUUUAACUACUGCCAAUAUGAAGAACUGUGUGGUUAAUAUUGCAUUGUCUAACUUAGCUUUGAAAAUUUCAAUUCUGCGGCUAUAGAGGUGUGGGAAGUUUGAUCAGCCAUAUAGCUAGCAACGGCAAGUCUAGGGCUAAAAGCGCUAAUGAUGAAUUGUGACCUGGCAGCCGGUAACAGAGUUAAUGUUUAUCCAAAUUCAGCAUAUAAAUGUGACAUGUGCUCAAUAGUGUUUAAGAACAAAGGAGAUCUUAGAGAAGCCAACAGAGCCCCAAUACUGUAUGAAGAAGCAGUAACUCAGCUACUAGUCGCCCUAAAGCUCCCUGGUGCUUUGGCUGUGAUUAGAUGUCUUGAUCACCAGAAAACAGACACAUUAAUACCUAAAUGAAGCAACAUGUUAGAGCUUUACUAUGCACUUCCUAAAUUGAUAGCUAGGUAAAGAUAAGUAAAGCUUUCUCUUUAUAACAGCAUUUGGGACAAACAUUUCAAGGUGCUUCACAAAAUAAAGCAAUGAAUUGGAAUUUGUUAAGGAAGAGGUUAACUAGGUACAAAUAUUAACUUUAGUACUAAGGUGCAUGUAGUUGGAAUUAACAAGACUAAAACAACUAACAUUGCAUGGCAUACUCACAAAUGUCCAUAGAUAAGUCCUCAUAAAGGGCCUGUAUUGGUAACUGUGAACACAACUAAUGCACUCUGCAAAGCUAUCUUUCUGCAGGAGAUGGCUUCUGGAUAGCAGAUGGAGAUGCAGAGGUCCUGGAGCAGGUGCUGGCAAUCUGAUGACGAGUGUGAGGGGACAACGGAGUGAAACAGGCUGCUCCAGAAAGCUGAGCCAUGACCCAUCCGGUAGCUGUUGAACCUGCUGCAGAGCCUACAGCCCAGGUGGAGUUGUACAGUGCCCAAACCAGCUUCUGAAUGAUGGAUGUGCAAGAUCAACUACUACCCAUCGCCGACCCUGACUUUAAUCAAGAGUAGGACCAAGUUGUCUCGAGUAUUCUUAGAAGCUAUGCAAGAUCCAGCAGUCAAGAAGUACCAUAAGAGACUUUUCUCGGACUCAUAAAUUAGUUGAAAUAUGGACUGAAAAAGGGACACAAGUUGAGUAAAGGUUGAAGCUGCUGCAGAGAAAUGUCAACCUUGAAGUUAUCAAAGGACAUUUCAAAGCCCACACUGAGAAGUCUGUUCAGAAAAAGAAGCUGCACCUGACCAAGAUGAAACCCAAAACUUAGAAUUAAUUGUUUAAUUGUGUUAUUUUUAAUGUCACUAAUGGUGUUAUGUAAUCCAUGUAUGUAUUAUGUGUCUCUGCUGAUGUGUUUUAUGCCUUACUUUCAUUUUCCUGUAAUUAGGCUGAUUUUUAAGUUUCUUGAGUAUUCUGUUUAGGAUACUGUGUAGUAUGAUUUGCAAAUGAAGAUGAAUCAAUUUGUCUUAAAUUAAUUGACUAAGAGAAAUGGAAUCUUGGGAGAAUGUUAUGUUGAUAACUGUGAGGUUUUCGGUGGAAGGAAGGGCUUAUUCAUUUGCGCAAUAACUGUGUGGGCUCUUUAUACAAAUUCUUAUGUUCUAUUUACAGCUUGCUUUAAAAUAUGUUAGCAAAAAAACAGCGCACGCAUUAGUUUUCACAAUUUUUGUUCUUCUUUAGUUAUGGGGUCUUUUUAGGUGGUACCUCCAAGUACCACAGGGGGGAAUGUGGUGGAUUUUUGUGUGAUAUGUAUAACUAUGUAACUAUAUACACUAUAUAUCUAUGCGCACUGAACAUAUAUAUUUUAACUUUCAUGUGGAGUCUUAAACACAAGACAUUUUUGCUUCACCGAGGUUCAUUAAGUUGGUACUGUAACAGGGCAGUUAAUGUAAGGGGAGAGUUCUCUUGAAUAAUUUACUUAAUAAUUAAUUAAUUUAACAUCUUUAAUGCAGCACAACCAAAACAGUAACAUUGUAACAGAGAUCCUGAACACAUCACGAUAAAAUACCAUACAAAAUAAACACACACACACACACACACACACACACACACACACACACACACUUUGAACCCAAACUGAAGUGUUUUUAUAUAUGAGAAAGCAUGUAACCUAUGUAUUAUAUAUUAUAAGAUUGUGCCACUUGCUGUAUAAGAUUUAAUAAUUAGGAUUAAUGUCUGACCUUUGACCGUGUCAUGACCUAUUGUGAUAAGCCAGAGCAAGGGGUACUCAGAGUCCUGACUGGCCUUUGGCCAAGACCUUGGCCACUACCUGACCCCAGCAGCUGUGCUGGGCGUGUGGGAAAGUUACGCAGCAGCAGGGGGAGGGGAUACUGGUCCCUAUAUUAGGGGACCAGAGGACACCCCCAGAGCUCUUUUUCCUCCUGCUGCUGCUACCUGUCCGUCUCUGUGUUGCUCUGCUGUCUGUGCUUAAGGCUGUACACCCCGGGGUUUUGCUUUGCUUGCUUUCUGCUUUGUAAUUUUCUUGCUAAAUGUAUGUUUGUAUUUUUCCUGCUGUUCAUAUGAUUCAGUGUAUUAAACUCUGUUCCAAGAAUUCUACUCUUUUACAGAGCAUCUUUUUGAGUGUCUUGGUUUUAAUUGGAUUUGGAUCUCCACAUCGUUGGUGGAAGAAGGUUAUCAGAAUGGCUUCAAAAUUUGCGACCACAGUUCCUUACCUGGAUGAUCAAAGGAGCUUGCAAAGAAAAGCGUCUGGACUUCUUUAAGUUGCUUGAAGACGUUUCACCUCUCAUCCGAGAAGCUUCUUCAGUUCCAAUGUCAAACAGCGGAGAGUCCCAGAUUUAAACCCCAGUGGGAGUAUCCCCCCAUAGAGGGACAAAAGGACCCCUGAUGAUCCUCUAAUCUAAUCACCUGAGCCGAGGUGUGAAAAUGGGUGUGGGUCCCAAUCAGCCAGGAUUUCGGCCGACAGGUAUUGAAGACACGUUUUCUAAGAGGAUGAAAGUUGGCAUUGCGAUGGUGAAAGAAGAAGACAUCAUCGAUGUGUUGGUUGUCCUUGAGGCGGCAGUAAUCCUGUCUAAUCUGAGGGAUGUCUCAAGUGCCAUUUCCAUGCUGAUGGGCCUUCUUUUGCCCUCAACAUAGACUAUCCAAAGGAACUUAAGGACAUCUUUGAAGUCAUUCAGAACAUCCUAAUGAACAUUGGUGGAAGGCAGUGCAUCUCACUAGUGCAUGGUCUAAGAAACAGACUCUUGCAGAAAGC
ensembl:lncRNA